rnacentral:rRNA from 1 species
GACGAACGCUGGCGGCGUGCUUAACACAUGCAAGUCGAACGGAAAGGCCCUGCUUUUGUGGGGUGCUCGAGUGGCGAACGGGUGAGUAACACGUGAGUAACCUGCCCUUGACUUUGGGAUAACUUCAGGAAACUGGGGCUAAUACCGGAUAGGAGCUCCUGCUGCAUGGUGGGGGUUGGAAAGUUUCGGCGGUUGGGGAUGGACUCGCGGCUUAUCAGCUUGUUGGUGGGGUAGUGGCUUACCAAGGCUUUGACGGGUAGCCGGCCUGAGAGGGUGACCGGCCACAUUGGGACUGAGAUACGGCCCAGACUCCUACAGGAGGCAGCAGUGGGGAAUAUUGCACAAUGGGCGGAAGCCUGAUGCAGCAACGCCGCGUGCGGGAUGACGGCCUUCGGGUUGUAAACCGCUUUCGCCUGUGGCGAAGCGUGAGUGACGGUAAUGGGUAAAGAAGCACCGGCUAACUACGUG